rnacentral:rRNA from 1 species
GCCUAGAAUGCAAGUCGAACGGUAACGACACUAGCUUGCUAGUGGUCGACGAGUGGCGGACGGGUGAGUAACGCGUAGGAAUCUACCUAGUAGUGGGGGAUAGCCAAGGGAAACUUUGGGUAAUACCGCAUACGAUCUAAGGAUGAAAGGGGGCCUCUCUUCGAAGCUCUCGCUAUUAGAUGAGCCUGCGUAAGAUUAGCUUGUUGGUGGGGUAAUGGCCCACCAAGGCGACGAUCUUUAGCUGGUCUGAGAGGAUGAUCAGUCACACUGGAACUGAGACACGGUCCAGACUCCUACGGGAGGCAGCAGUCGGGAAUAUUGGACAAUGGGGGAAACCCUGAUCCAGCCAUGCCGCGUGUGUGAAGAAGGCCCUAGGGUUGUAAAGCACUUUUAGUAGUGAGGAAGGCUCAGUAGUUAAUACCUACUGGGAUUGACGUUAGCUACAGAAAAAGCACCGGCUAAUUUCGUGCCAGCAGCCGCGGUAAUACGAAAGGUGCAAGCGUUAAUCGGAAUUACUGGGCGUAAAGCGCGCGUAGGCGGCUUGGUAAGUUGGAUGUGAAAGCCCUGGGCUCAACCUGGGAACUGCAUUUGAAACUGUAUAUCUAGAGUGUGGUAGAGGUGAGUGGAAUUUCAGGUGUAGCGGUGAAAUGCGUAGAGAUCUGAAGGAACAUCAGUGGCGAAGGCGACUCACUGGGCCAUUACUGACGCUGAGGUGCGAAAGCGUGGGUAGCAAACAGGAUUAGAUACCCUGGUAGUCCACGCCCUAAACGAUGUCAACUAGGUGUGUGAAGAUAUAUUCUUUGCGUAUCGAAGCUAACGCGAUAAGUUGACCGCCUGGGGAGUACGGCCGCAAGGCUAAAACUCAAAUGAAUUGACGGGGGCCCGCCCAAGCGGUGGAGCAU